GUCGUCGAUAGAGGUAUGGCUACCAAGGCUGACGACGGGUAUGCCGAGCCUGAGAGGGUGAGCACGGCACACAUUGGGACUGAGACACGGCCCAGUACUCCUACGGGUAGGCAGCAGUGGGGAAUAUUGCACAAUGGGCGGAAGCCUGAUGCAGCGACGCCGCGUGAGGGAUGACGGCCUUCGGGUUGUAAACUUCUUUCGCUAGGGACGAAGCCUUCUGGUGAGGGGACCUGGAUAAAAAACACCGGGUAUAUACGUGUCA
rnacentral:rRNA from 1 species